UUUGCUCCUAUAGCUGGUCUUUGGUUCCCUUAUUUGAUUUCUUAAUUGGAUCAUGCCAAAGACAGACUAGAAAGAAAAAGAAGAAUCUGAAGCAGUUGUGCAGUACUAAGAGUUAGAGACCUUGGUACUCAGAAGCCUGGUCAUCACGUUAUGGGAGGGAUAUCCCUGUCAGAAUCCUAGACUGCCUUCCUGGACCAAAUACUAGCUUGAUAUCUUAAAGUUGCAUCAUAAAGUACUUCAACCAAAGUUUCACUUAUGAAGAUUAGAGCCUAUUUGAGAAAUUCUCCACAAGUCCAAGGAAAUGAAAUUGGCUCAGACUGACUUAAAGCCAGGAGAUUUUUGAACAAGUUACAAAGUAAGAAAAGGAUAUAUUUGGUGGAAAGGAGGCAUCAAAGGCCCUCUGCCGUGGGCUAGUAAGCAGAAUACCGAAUUUGGAGUCAAGAGAUCUGAGUUUCAAUGCUUAAUAUCCACUUAACAUCUGUGUUACUGACUGUAAAGAAGGCAGGAGGCUUUCACUGCAGCUUCUUGAUUCUUUGCCAGCACCGUGUGGAGAAGGGUCUGUUCUGUGACAUUGAAAACUGGAAUGUUACAAAGGCAUGGUCCGCUCC